rnacentral:rRNA from 1 species
UACAUGUGGGGCAAGCGUUGUUCGGAAUUACUGGGCGUAAAGGGUGCGUAGGUGGUUCUUUAAGUCUGCUGUGAAAGCCCCGGGCUCAACCUGGGAAUGGCAGUGGAUACUGGAGAGCUAGAGUGCGGUAGAGGGUAGUGGAAUUCCCGGUGUAGCAGUGAAAUGCGUAGAGAUCGGGAGGAACACCAGUGGCGAAGGCGGCUACCUGGACCAGCACUGACACUGAAGCACGAAAGCGUGGGGAGCAAACAGG